rnacentral:lncRNA from 1 species
AGGAUCUGAGGGGAGAACAAGAGAGAAGUUCAGGGGGUCCUGCAUAAAAAUUCGGAGUUAUGAGUGAGGUGGGAUUGUUUCCGGGGGCUGUAGUGUAAAAUGUAGGGGGUAGGAUGAAAAGGGAAGGGUAGAUCUAUGAGACAAACUAUUUUUCCAGGGGGUAGCUUGCAAAGUUGCUCGAUUUUGCUUUAUUUGCUAGAUUUAAAUGGUUGCAAGAUUGCAAAAUACAUAGAAACUUGUAGAAAAACGCUAAAAAUAUGAUUCUUGUUUUGUUGGAUUCCUUGUGGCGUCUAGUUUAUUUCAAAAAUGAUUUUGUGCAUGUUUUUGUUUUAUAUUUUUUGAUAUGAUUUAUUUGGUGUGAAAGCCUUUAAAUGCUUUAUAAAUCACAUAGUGCUCUAAAAAUUGUGAAACUGCUUUUGUUAGCUUCCACUCAACAUCAUGCUUACUUGCUAUGUUAAUCUUGUUAUUUGCAUAAUAAAUAGUAGAAGUUGAUAAAAUGAUGAAACCACUUCCAUUAGGCUUUGUGUUCCAUCUAGAAGCUAGGAAAAAUGAUGUUGAUACUUUUCUGAUUGUUUUACAAACCCUUUUAUAUUUAAUGUGUUUAAUGGUAGUUUAUCUUGUUUAAUUUAUAUUUCCACAUUAAAAAUUGAUUUUGAGGUGAAUCCAACUCUAAUGAUUUUGUGUUGGUUGUCUUCUAUCAGUGCCAUUUAUUUCAUUGUUGUUUCUUAAAAGAUGAUUUAUAUCUUACAAUUUAGUGCUUGUUUUGGACUUAUCGUGCAAAAUAGUUUCUCUUGUUGUUCUUGUGUGAUUUCCUAUUGUUGUUAGCAAGGUUGUUCUGUUACUCGUUGAUUUCUUACUGUUUCUUUUAUCUUUCCAUGCAUUUCAUGAGCAUUUGCACUCAUAGCAUCAUCUCUAAUGCAUGCACACAUUUCUUUCUUUUAGAGAGUAAUUUGCCGGAGAACGUGACCUUGAACCCUUGAGCCGAGGCCGGCAUAAAAGUUGAGUUUGAGCUCGAAGAAAACCAAGGCAAGCCACUAAGCAUGUUUGUUGCCUCCCUCUUUUUAAAAUGAAAUUGGUUCUAUGGGUUGCAUGAGGGUGAUAAUAACUUAAUCUUGCAACUUGCUUAGUCAUGCUUAGUCAUAAAAUGAUCACUUAGUAAACGAAACGGUCAUAGGUUAAUAAAUACCUUUUCUAAUAAGGUUCUCUAAUGUUGUUAAAACAAAUGAACAUAAUGGGUAAUGUUGGAUACAAGAAUUGGGCAGUGUGUAGGAGUUGCAACAACCAAAACUUCACAAGUUAACACAUGAAGCAAGUUAAGCUAAGAGCUUUUUAAAUAAAUAAGUCAGUGAAUGCAAAAUAAUUGGAACAUGUUUAAGUUGUUUAAAAAUUUAGAAACAGGAUAACGUUCCAAAUGAAUGCCAAGCAACACCAGAAUGACCCCCCCACCUUUCUUUUGUGAUUUCUAAGCCAUUAAAAUCUUAUAUGUGUACACAAUCACCAUCAAAGUCAACUCCGAGUUUUAAAUCGCAACACACCUUACUUUACAAGAAAACAAAUGUUUAGAAACUUGUCUAAUGAAUGUGGUCAAGAAUACA